rnacentral:lncRNA from 1 species
AGGAAAAAGCCUCUGUCUUCCAUUGAGGAAAAAGUUCCAAUCUCUCAAUCACACAAGUCACAACCACAACCCUUGCCGGCCAAAUCCCCCUACACCGUCCUCCACCGCACCCGCCCCUGAUCUUCUCCAUAGACCCUUCUAUAGUGAAGCACCAUGAACAACAAGAACUCAAGGAAGUAAUCGGCUCCAUUCUGUUAAUGUUUUCUCCUCCAUGAAGGAAACAACAUAUCUUUUCAUAUUGCUGGAAGAAUUCUGGAGGUGAUUCCCAAGCACUUUUACGCCACGAGAAAUUCUAGUUCUAUGUAUUUUGCUCUUUAAGUUUUUUUUUUUUUUAUAUUAUUGGGUUUUCUUUAGCUUUGUUAGGUAAUUCAUAUUGAAAAAUGUUGCAAUGUUUGGUUUUAUUUUAUUGAUAUAGUUAUUGGUUAUAUUCUAUAAUUUUAUGAAGUUUUAAUUUUCAGCGUUUGCCUGAAAAAUAAAUGUCGGUUCAGUGUAUGGUAGCAAUUAACUGGAGAUGGUGGAACGGAAAGGGGAGGAGAAAGAGAAAGAGCACUCCUUUUUAAAAAAAAAAAGGUAUGUAUGGCACUUCAUGCUCACAAAGGACAGUUACACUCGUUGUGACUAUAGACAUUUGAUUUUUGAUCAUCCCCAAGAUUUUUUAUAUUUUAGUACAUAAAUAUUUUAUUAGGCCUAA